GUAGAAGUUAUUUACAGAGGAGCAAUGAAGGGCAAGGUCAUUGUAACUAGUCCUCUUGACCCAGCAAAUGUACCAAAAUACGAACUUAUAUACAAGGAUAUCUGAAGCAAGUGAUGUUAAUAGCAACCUACCGAAAUACUAAUUUGCACAGGCAUCUGAAGCGAGUUGUAUCAGUAACCUACCCAAAUACAUACUCAUAUACAAGGACAUCUGAAACAAGUGAUAUCAGUAACCUGCCCCCCAAAAAAUACUCUAUAGAAGGACUUCUGAAGCGAGUCAUAUUUGCUUGCUUAUCAAGCAUGUGGUAAAUAGCUCAAUUAAGCUUGAGACUGGGUUAUUGAGCAAAACAUCAGUCAACAAACAGUGCACUAAAACUAGAGACUUGAAGUCCUCAGAUUAUGCUUUAGUAUGUGAGCACGUGGACAUGAAUGCAUGUUAGGUUGUAUUUUUACCAGAGUAUGACAUGCGCCAUGGGGGGGGGGGGGGUCUCCCAUCCUUAAAAACUCAAAUUUCUUAAAUAUUGUAUACAUAGUGUAAUUACCUAAAAAUGCCUUGGACCACCUUGGCAAACUUCAUUUACCCACCGGUACCCCUGAGACCCCCUCUCCCUCCCCAGAAAAUUUUUCUGAUCAGCGCAUGAAUGUGUAAAACUUAUUUACCUUAUGCAUAUGAACAAAAUUUCAACAAUUACAUGUACUGUACCUGCUUGUAUUUAGUUGUUUCGAAGAUAAUAUGCAUUUUGUGUAUUAAAGAUAUCAUUAUAUAAAUAUAUUUCUCUGUUGG
rnacentral:misc_RNA from 1 species